GUCAGUUGCCAGCACACAAAGCUAUGCAAGCAAGUGUCUGAACUUUUGUCCUUCUUCACAUCAUGGACAGAUGGAGUGGACACAAGAGGGAGAUAAGCAAUUCCAAGUAGAUAUGGCAGCAUUUUUGGACCAAUACUGUGAGCAUGAGACCAUAGCAGUCUGCAGUUAACACCUUGAGAAGAACAUACAGCAGAAAAGCUUGGCCACCAGGAGGUCUGGCUGUAAUGCCAAUUCCAGAAGAGGCAGGAAAAACUGGACUGAACUUCAACAAGCAAGAUAUUCCCUGAUUGCCAGUGAUUGACAAGCCUGGCUUCAGUCCUACUCCUUGAACACACUACUACUAAAAAAUACAGGAGUUCAGUGGGUGAAUUCUCUUGGACUAGAUCUUCUACAAAGUUUGCACAAUGAUGAAGGAACAGAGGAACUUGAAAUAAUAGUUUGCACAUUCAGGUUUCACUUCUGGUGCUGUUAGUGAUCUGCUGUGCCACCUUUCAAUGAGCGAGUCUGGAGACAGUGUGAAGCACAAGUCUCAUCUUUCAAUCCCCUAAUAUGAAGAUUAAAAAAACCCCUUGGAAUUCAUCCCUUACUUUGGAAAAAGUUCCAAUGCUCAGAUGCUUAUGAGGACACAGAAUAUACUAAUCCUAUAGCAUCCAGCAAAAGAAAACCUCACAAGUACAAGCUCUUUGUGAAAUUUUUGGGAAGUCUUCCUCCAGCUGCAAUUGGGACCAUUGGUUUAAUUUUCAA